UUACGGUCAAAUCACGCUGAAACACCGGUUCUCGUACGAUCACCGAAGUUAAGCAUCGUAGAGCCAGGUCAGUAUGGGGUACCGCUUGGGAACACCUGGUACUGUAAG